CAGGCAUCAAAUUUCACACAUCAAAGGGUUAUUCAACGGCGUCAGUCUUCUCUGCUAUUUCGGUUCCAUUCUCCGCCGGCGACCAUGGUGAACGUUCCUAAAACGAAGAAGACAUACUGCAAGUCCAAGGAGUGCAAGAAGCACACCUUGCAUAAGGUGACGCAAUACAAGAAGGGAAAAGAUAGCUUAGCUGCUCAAGGAAAGCGUCGUUAUGAUCGUAAACAAUCAGGAUAUGGAGGACAGACCAAGCCUGUCUUUCAUAAG
rnacentral:misc_RNA from 1 species